AUUGAACGCUGGCGGCAGGCUUAACACAUGCAAGUCGAGCGGGGACUUCGGUCCUAGCGGCGAACGGGUGAGGAAUGCUUGGGAAUCUGCCCAGUAGCGGGGGAUAACGUUUCGAAAGGAACGCUAAUACCGAAUACGCCCUACGGGGGACAGGGGGGGAUCUUCGGACCUCUCAGUAUUGGAUGAGCCCAAGGCGGAUUAGGUAGUUGGUGGGAUAAAAGCCUACCAAGGCGACGAUCUGUAGCUGGUCUGAGAGGACGAUCAGCCACACUGGAACUGAGACACGGCCCAGACUCCUACGGGAGGCAGCAGUGGGGAAUUUUGGACAAUGGGCGCAAGCCUGAUCCAGCAAUGCCGCGUGCAGGAUGAAGGCCUUCGGGUUGUAAACUGCUUUUGUACGGAACGAAAAGCCCUGGGUUAAUACCCUGGGGUCAUAACGGUACCGUAAGAAUAAACACCGGCUAACUACGUGCCAGCCGCCGCGGUAACAC
rnacentral:rRNA from 1 species